AUUGAACGCUGGCGGCAGGCUUAACACAUGCAAGUCGAACGAGUGGCGGACGGGUGAGUAAUGCUUGGGAAUCUGGCUUAUGGAGGGGGAUAACUAAGGGAAACGGUAGAUAAUACCGCGUACCAUAGGAUGAGCCCAAGUGGGAUUAGGUAGUUGGUGGGGUAAAGGCUAACCAAGCCGACGAUACCUAGCUGGUCGGAGGGGAUGACCAGCCAACCGUGUACUGAGACCCGGCCCAGACGCCUACGGGAGGCAGCAGUGGGGGAAUUUGUCCCAUGGGGGCAACCUGACACAGCCAUGCCGCGUGAAUGAAGAAGGCCUUCGGGUUGUAAAGUUCUUUCGGUAGCGAGGCGUUACCUGCAGAAGAAGCACCGGCUAACUCCGUGCCAGCAGCCGCGGUAAUUC
rnacentral:rRNA from 1 species